rnacentral:lncRNA from 10 species
CACAGCCAUCCAGGAACAACCAGAAAUCAGACUACUGUCUCCGCCACCCUCAGGGGUUCCAUUCAGGGAGUCCACCUCCCAAGGUGGCUGUGGGAAUAAAACGAGAUCCUGGGGGAAGCAGAGAGCCCAGUGCACAGGGGUGAUCAGUAACCGGCAGCCCCUUUCCCUGCCUUUCCCUCUACUUCCAACAUUAUGUUGUGAAGAACAGGGCAGACCUGGGCCCAUGCUAUCUCUCACCCUGGCUCUGUGACUUGAGGCAACUCACUCCAACUCUGUAAAUCAACUGCUCAUCUGCAAAACUGGCAAGAAACUGAGAAGGCACUGGUUCUCAGAUUGGCAAAGCUCAUCGUCACUGCCUCACUCCCUCAACUCUAUGUCCAGGGACCACGGGUUUCCCAGGGUUCCCAAACUUGCUGUUGGCAAAGGGCCUGAUAUCCGUCACUGACCUUUUUAUUCUGAAUGGGUCCCCGUUGACUUUAAAGCUGGAAUAUUCUUAGAGGAAUUCUAAACUCCUCCUUUCCAACUCCCUACUCAUUUUACAGAAGGAGAAAGUGAAGAGAAGAGAGGGAGAAGGGCCCUGACCGAGGCCACCAGCUUUUACCUCCAAUUAACUCUAGGUAACCCAGCCCAGUCUUUGAUUCUGUGUUGAAAGGUGCGAGGUGCUGGAGCCGGGAAGAGGUGCGUUCUUGCUCUCGACAGGAAGUGUCAUGUGAGUUUCCGGUUCCCUCUCCUCCACUACCACUCUGGAUCCUCACACCAGCCCACAGAGGGAGACAGGAAGGGAGGCACAAAGGCAGGGCAGGGAAUACUGUGCCUGUUUUCCAGAUGAAGACACGAAGGCCAAGAGAGGGAAAGUGAGUCGGCCAAGGUCCUCCAGCUAGUCGGGGUUGAGCGUGUUUAACCUUAGGAAACGUGACUGCAGAGCAAGGGGCUUUCAUCUUCCUGUGGGAAUUCGCCCCCUUUCUCACAGGGGCCCUCAAGAGACUAGGCAGGCUCCUCCUGCAAAGGAUUCCUCUUUGUCCAUUUGAGAGGCCUCACCCCAGGCUCUAGGAGCUGACAUGAUUCAGCUCAAGGAAGACUCAGUAUGAAGGGAGAACCAGGAACCUGGGCCUCUGCCCCUCACCUGUGGCCUUGAACAGGUCACUUCUCCCCUCAAGCCUUGGUGUCCUCCCCUGUAGAGCUGAGGGGGUGAGGAGUAGAUGAGCUGAUCCUUCAGUUUGCUGCCCUCUUUGACCCGGAAGUGCUGGGCCUGCACAACCCUGCAUCCCUGGCACCAGUGCUCCUAGCCCCACCCUGCUCCAGAUGCCCAGUGCCUGAAGAGCCAGCUCCCCAUCAGCACUCAGUCCUGGGGCAGAGCCAGGCCUGGCAAUGCUGGGGGAGACCCUGGAGGGGAACAUCAUGGGCCACCAGGGGCACGCUGCAAAUGCAGCAACUAAUGCACCAGGGGCGCCAGGGUGCAAUCUAUCUAAGCAGUUCUCUCACGCUCUUUGCACGUUAAUAAUGCAUGGGCAGCCGGUGUGGGGGCCAUCACAGGCCCAACGUCAGGUGGCAUUAGGA